AACGCGAAGAACCUUACCAGGGAUUGACAUGACGGUAGUAGUGAAGCGAAAGCGGAACGACCCUUCGGGGAGCCGUCACAGGUGAUGCAUGGCUGUCGUCAGCUCGUGCCGUGAGGUGUUUGGUUAAGUCCACUAACGAGCGCAACCCCUAGUGCCAGUUACAAGUGUCUGGCGCGACUGCCGGUAUUAAGCCGGAGGAAGGUGGGGAUGACGUCAAGUCAGCAUGUCCUUUAUACCCUGGGCGACACACACGCUACAAUGGCCAGCACAAUGGGUCGCCAAGCCGUGAGGCGGAGCCAAUCCUAAAAAGCUGGUCUCAGUUCGGAUUGCAGGCUGCAACCCGCCUGCAUGAAGUCGGAGUUGCUAGUAACCGCAGGACAGCUAUACUGCGGUGAAUACGUUCCCGGGUCUGUACACACCG
rnacentral:rRNA from 1 species